rnacentral:rRNA from 1 species
GACGUAGGGCGCGAGCGUUGUCCGGAUUUAUUGGGCGUAAAGAGCUCGUAGGCGGCUCAUUGCGUCAACCGUGAAAUCCUGCUGCUCAACGGCAAGUCUGCGGUUGAUACGGGUGGGCUGGAGUUCGGUAGGGGAGACUGGAAUUCCUGGUGUAGCGGUGAAAUGCGCAGAUAUCAGGAGGAACACCGGUGGCGAAGGCGGGUCUCUGGGCCGAUACUGACGCUGAGGAGCGAAAGCGUGGGGAGCGAACAGG